rnacentral:sRNA from 1 species
AGCUCUUCUUCUUCUUCUUCUUCUUCUUCUUCUUCUCCUUCUUCUUCU